UACGGGGGGGGCAAGCGGUGUUCGGAAUUACUGGGCGUAAAGGGCGCGUAGGCGGGUGGACAAGUCUCUCGUGAAAGCCCACGGCUCAACCGUGUAAUUGCGGGAGAUACUGUCUGUCUUGAGUCCGGGAGAGGAGGGUGGAAUUCCCAGUGUAACGGUUAAAUGCGUAGAUAUUGGGAGGAACACCGGUAGCGAAGGCGGCUCUCUGGACCGGUACUUACGCUGAGUCGCGAAAUCUAGAGGAGCAAUCGGG
rnacentral:rRNA from 1 species